rnacentral:tRNA from 1 species
GGGGAUUUAGUUCAGUGGUUAGAGCGCUUGCCUAGCAAGCACAAGACCCUGGGUUCGGUCCCCAGCUCCG